CCGUAGUCACAUCUUCGAACCGGAGCGUCAGUAGGCCUUCUUUGCACAUGUCCAAAUCACCGGAACCGAUUUUCUCUCAUCUUUCCUUCAAUUUCGACUACUCCUACUUUAUCUCGGAUAUCCUCAUUCUCAAUCUUAUCCUUUCUCGUGUGCCUACACAUCCCACGAAGCAUCCUCAUCUCCGCUACACCCAUUUUGUGUACGUGUUGAUGCUUCACCGCCCAACAUUCUGUGCCAUACAACAUCGCUGGCCUUAUUGCCGUCCUAUAAAAUUUUCCCUUGAGCUUCAGUGGCCUACGACGAUCACACAACACGCCGGAUGCACUCUUACACUUCAUCCAUCCAGCUUGUAUUCUAUGGUUUAGAUCUCCAUCUAAUUCUCUGUUCUCUUGCAAGAUAGAUCCUAGGUAGCGAAAACGGUCGCUUUUUGUGAUCUUCGCUAGAUUGCUCCGGUCAUUAGUGUGGAUAAGUAUAUAAAUGGAUAGAGAUAGGAAAGCAAACACAAGAUGUACGUGGUUCACCCAGAUUGGCUACGUCCACGGAAUAGAGGAGUUCUCAUUAAUUGUGAAGAGUUUACACAAGUACAUAGGUUCAAGCUCUCAUUUAGUGAGUACAAGUGAAUGAUUUAGUACAAAUGACAUUUAGGAAAUAUUGUGGAAGAAUGAUCUCGUAAUCACGAAACUUCUAAGUAUCGGAGUGUGGUAUUGUCUUGAAUUGCCUUAUCUGUCUCAUAGGUAGAUGUGGCAUCUUCUCUGGAACUACUCUUCCUCCAUCCAGGGGUGGUAUCUUUAACUGGUGAAGAUGCACAAGGUAAUGUAUCAAUUUCACUUGAAGCUUACUUGUAGUUUCAGGCUUGGUCAAGCGCGAUACAAACCAUGUAGUAGGAGUCCCUCAAGUCGCCGAGUUAGGGAAUCUGCUGAAAGAGGUGACAGACAAGGUAAGCAAUUAGAGCUCCGGCUGAUUGUUCACAUUCUCCCUAUCUUGCAGACAGCAUGAAGGAUAAAGAGAAGAAAAAUGAGAAGAGAUGAUAUGGGAUACUUUUGCUUUUGAAGAAGUAACUUUCCAUAUGCUUAUUCUUGAACUGAGCUGGAGAGUUUUCUGGUUUCCUCCAGAGUAUAAGGCCGACUGAAGAAUUUGAGGGUCAAAACAAGUCCAUCAAAUCUAGAGUACGUUCGACCCUGCUGAUAUGGGAUACUUUUUCUUUUGACAGAGUAGUGGAUGUAUCGGCACGUGUGGUGUUAUGCUUGUCUCCACAUGCUUCCUUGUAUCCUUUUCACAUGCCCUAUUUGUUCCUCAGGCAGAUGCGGUAUCUUCCCUGGAAGCAUAAGAUGUUGAAGAUGAGUACUCGAAAGCAAUGCCAGGUAAGUAAUCAGGUAAGGGGUUCCAGGCAGUCAGUUCCUGCUGGAACCUUGAUUCCAAGUGUUGACUGAUUGCUCUCUUUCUCCUUGUCUUGCAGGUAAGAACAAGGCCAAAGGAAAAGGCAGGGAAAAAGCAUGAUAUGAGAUACUCUUGCUUUUAACCCCUGAUGAUAUGAGAUAUUCUUGCUCUAGUAUAGCUUGUUUGCAGAGGUAUUAUCGGGGGGAAAGAAAGCUGAAUAUUUCGAAAGGCUUCGUUGGGAGUGUCCUCUCAGAUAUGAGGAAGGGUUGAGCAUUUUUGCAGGUCUGCCUGUCCGUUGGGGAUGGAGGUCGACAUAUAUAAGAGUCUCCCUAACAACAAGUAGUAAUGCUAUUCCUUUACCCUGCUUGGUCAUAGCACGGUAGUGGGAGCUGCCAGCUUCACCUGUUUUAACUCUGUCAGAGCACUUUGAAAAAAUGGUCUGUGGUAUCUGGAAAGCUGAUGUUGCGUGUGAAGAUUACAGACAAGCUUUAUCCAAGGAGAUCCGGCUCUUGAAGUUGGGAAAGUGGUGCCUCUUCGGUUUUCGAACAAGCAAUCCUAUCGGGCAUCUGGCUCUCGAGAUUCGGAGAACGAUGCCUCUUCGAUUUUUGAGAGAGCAAUCAUGCUGGGGGUUUGGCUCUCGAGAUUCGGAGAGCGGUGUCUCUUCGAUUUUUGAGAAAGUAAUCAUGUUGGGAGUCUGACUCUCAAGAUUCGGAGGGCGGUGCCUCUUCGAUUUUGGAGCAAGCAAUCUUGUUGGGAGUGUUAUCUCGAAUGUGAGUAAAGGUUGGGCAUGUUUGCUAGUCUACCUUGCCACGAAGCACAGAGGUUGACACACAAGGACUUUCCAAUUAUCGAGCAAUGGUACUGUUCCUUUACCAUCUCUUCGAUUUUUGAGAAAGUAGUCAUGUUGGGAGUCUGGCUCUCCAGAUUCGGAGGACGGUGCCUCUUCGAUUUUGGAGCAAGCAAUCUUGUUGGGAGUGUUUUCUCGAAUGUGAGCAAAGGUUGGGCAUGUUUGCUAGUCUACCUUGCCACGAAGCACAGAGGUUGACACACAGGGGCUUUCCAAUUAUCCAGCAGUGGUACUGUUCCUUUACCCUUGUGGGUAAUAAUAUGGUAGCUAGACCUUCAAAAUUUAUGUGUCUAAACUUUGUUAGUGCUGUUUCUUUGCUAUUCUUUUACCCUUCUUGGUCAGAGCGAUGUAGUGGGAGCUGCAAGCUUCACGUGUCUCAACUUUGGCAGAGAACUUUGGCAAAGUUAUUUGUGGUACCCAUGAGCUACUGUUGCGUGUGGGAAGUGGGUGAUUGAACAGUAAGAUUCAUGUGCUUUCUACUUCACCAAAAGUCUUCGACAGAAUGCCCAUAAUUUCUGCAAAGCUGAGUGUGCGUGUGACAGGUGCUGACAAGGCUGGAAAAGUAGGUGCUUCUUCGAUUUCUGAGAUCGGCCCUCGUGGUCUCUGAGCAGCCCAACUUUUGAGAAAGCAAGCGCCUCUUCGAUUUCUGAGAUCGGCCUUCGUGGUCUUUGAGCAGCCCAGCUUUUGAGAAAGCAAACGCCUCUUCGAUUUCUGAGAUCGACCCUCGUGGUCUCUGAGCAGCCCAGCUUUUGAGAAAGCAAACGCCUCUUCGAUUUCUGAGCAGGCGCCUCUUCGAUUUCUGAAGCUCCGUCGAGUGCAGAUUUUUAUAAGGGCUGGCAUUAAGUUCCAAAGCACACUUGAAUCUCCACCAGUAGAAGCUCCAUUCUUGCACUUCUAAGAUCUUGAUUUGUCCGACCUCUUCUCUCUUCAACACCUUUGAAAAUGUCUGGCCCAUCCGACCGUCGUUUUGACUUGAACCUUGUUGAAGAGGCAGCCCCGCCUUCUCCAGACAACAUAUGGUGCCCAUCCUUCGUCUCCCCUACUAAUCCUCUUACCGUUGGGGAUUCCGUGAUGAAUAAUGAUAUGACCGCUGCGGUGGUGGCCAGGAACCUUCUCACUCCCAAAGAUAACAGACUACUUUCCAAACGGUCUGAUGAGUUAGCUGUUAAAGAUUCUCUGGGUCUUAGUGUUCAGUGUGCAGGUUAUGUGUCUAAUAUGGCCCAACGCCUAUUUGCUCGAACCCGCCAAGUUGAAUCAUUGGCGGCUGAAGUGAUGAGUCUCAAACAGGAGAUUAGAGGGCUCAAGCAUGAGAAUAAACAGUUGCACCGGCUCGCACAUGACUAUGCUACAAACAUGAAGAGGAAGCUUGACUAGAUGAAGGAAUCUGAUGGUCAGGUUUUACUUGAUCAUCAGAGAUUUGUGGGUUUGUUCCAAAGGCAUUUAUUGCCUUCGUCUUCUGGGGCUGUACCACGUAAUGAAGCUCCAAAUGAUCAACCUCUGAUGCCUCAUCCUUCUAGGGUCCUGUCCAGUACUGAGGCUCCGAAUGAUCCCCCUCUGGUGCCUUCUCUUUCUAGGGCUCUACCGACUGCUGAGACUUCUCCUAAGCAACCUUUGUGAAGGCUCCCUUUUGUUUGUUUAUUUUGACUCAUGUAUAUGUACAUAUUUGUAACUUAUCAGGGAUAUCAAUAAAUAAGCUUUCCUUCAUUUCAACGUAUUGUGUUAAAUACACCAAAGCCUUCUUCGCUAAGUUCUUUGAAUUUUCUUUUGUUGAAACUUGUAUGUUGAAGCUUUGUGAGUGGAGCAUGUAGGUUGAGGUAGUGUUCCCUUAAUUUCCCGAGUGAGGAAAACUUCUCGGUUGGAGACUUGGAAAAUCCAAGUCACUGAGUGAGAUCGGCUAUAUGAAUCUUAGAACGCCAUUGUGCUCGGUCCUGUGUCAUGUCCUCCGUUAGAUCCAAGUACUCUAAGUCUUUUCUUAAAGUCUCUUCCAAAGUUUUCCUAGGUCUUCCUCUACCCCUUCGGCCUUGAACCUCUGUCCCAUAGUCGCAUCUUCUAAUCGGAGCGUCAGUAGGCCUUCUUUGCACAUGUCCAAACCACCGUAACCGAUUUUCUCUCAUCUUUCCUUCAAUUUCGGCUACUCCUACUUUACCCCGGAUAUCCUCAUUCCUAAUCUUAUCAUUUCUCGUGUGCCCACACAUCCAACGAAGCAUCCUCAUCUCCGCUACACCCAUUUUGUGUACGUGUUGAUGCUUCACCGCCCAACAUUCUGUGCCAUACAGCAUCGCCGGCCUUAUUGCCGUCCUAUAAAAUUUUCCCUUGAGCUUCAGUGGCAUACGGCGGUCACACAACACGCCGGAUGCACUCUUCCACUUCAUCUAUCCAGCUUGUAUUCUAUGGUUGAGAUCUCCAUCUAAUUCUCCGUUCUUUUGCAAGAUAGAUCCUAGGUAACGAAAACGGUCGCUCUUUGGUAUUUCUUGAUCUCCGAUCCUCACCCCUAACUCGUUUUGGCCUCCAUUUGCACUGAACUUGCACUCCAUAUAUUCUGUCUUUGAUCGGCUUAGGCGAAGACCUUUAGAUUCCAACACUUCUCUCCAAAGGUUAAGCUUUGCAUUUACCCCUUCCUGAGUUUCAUCUAUCAACACUAUAUCGUCUGCGAAAAGCAUACACCAAGGAAUAUCAUCUUGAAUAUGUCCUGUUAACUCAUCCAUUACCAACGCAAAAAGGUAAGGACUUAAGGAUGAGCCUUGAUGUAAUCCUACAGUUAUGAGAAAGCUUUCGGUUUGUCCUUCAUGAGUUCUUACGGCAGUCUUUGCUCCUUCAUAUCCUUUAUAGCUUGGAUAUAUGCUACUCGUACUCCUUUCUUCUCUAGAAUCCUUCAUAUUCUUUAAUUUUCUUUCGUAUGUAUAUGUAAUUCACACAUAUACAUACGAAAGAAAAUUAAGUUUAAAGCACAUCAACCAAUACGUAGAUUACUAAUGGAACAAAACGAUAACCAAAGGUGAAUUAAAGAAUAAAACACCCGAAGUAGAGAGAAUCAGACUGAAAAACACAUGACCAUUACAGGCAACCACAACUAUACAAUAAAUAUAGUUGAUAAAGCAUAUAAUCCUUUUAAAAUAACCAUACUUAUACAUAUGCAAAAGCAAUCAGUAACACAUCCAAAAUAAAUCCUUAAACCAGAAAUCUGAUAUUAUUUAACAACUCACCUUUCCUCUUUUUUUUUUCUUCUUUAACUUAUCCACAGCAGAUUCGAGACCAUAUAAAAUGUUUUGAUAGCAAUCUGCACCAAAAAGUGAAAUUACAAAUUAAAUACACAAAACAGCAAAAAAAAAAAAAAACUUUUUUAAGAAAGCAGAGUCAAAAACCGUGUCAUGAGCUCAAAGAAAAAAUAGUUCCAUCUCCAAUUUAAACAAUUUGUAAAGGCCACCAAUAAUUUUUUUGUUUGACCAAUAGUUUCUCAACCAAACACAUUUUAUGCCAAAGCCAAACCAAACAUAACAUAACUGACAAAACGAAAGGUAACAAUGUCCAUAGCAACUUAAUUAUAUGUGGAAAAAAAGACUAGCAAAGAUUACUUUUAAAGAUGAAAACAUGCAUUAAACUAAACAAUUAAAAGCAAAAACCUAAUAAUGUAACCCCAUAGUCCCCAGGACCUUUCUCAAAGAACCACAUAAAAAUGCCAUUUCAAAUCUGGGCAAGAAGCUAGAACAACACUAAAUGUCACUAAAUGUCAUGGUUUUCAUAUAUAUAAAACCUGCAUAAGCUUUAAAAAAGCUAAUAAACCUAUAACCUAUUAUAAAUUUUAACAUUUUAUAUUAAUUUAAACUGAAAUACAAAUCUUACUUAAAUUAAAAAAUAAGAGAUUAAAUGGUAGCAGAGAAAAGAUAGCAAACACAAUUAAAAUUGGUAAAGCGGGCAGUCAAUUAGGGAGUAACAAUGAGAAUGGAUAAAUUGACUCUCUUUACAAGCAACACUUUGGUUUUUUUUUUUUUUUUAAAAUAAAAAACGGUGAAACUAUUAGACUCCCAUGACCCUUGAGAUAGAAACACACUAUUUGGUUAAAAGUAUUUUUUUUUCCCUUUUGAUUUUGGCCAAAACAAACGGUUCUGUUUAAACUAAGUGUUAGUGAUCUUCUUCCUCUGGUUUGGAACUUUGCAAAAUACCACAAUGGUGCAACACCACUGCUCAAGCGUGAUUUCCGAAUGGGUAAUGCACAGCAGACUAAAAUUACAAAGAAAUUUUAACCUAAAAUCAAAUCUACCCAAACUCCAAUCAUAUCUCUAAUCUAACACUUAUCAACGGGUUCCCAGAUGUACAAAAAAACGAUGACAAAAACUCACCCAAAAAUUAAGCUACCAAUCUCUCAAGUACGUGCUUGAUAAAAGUGAAGCAUAUACAUAUGUAAAAUAUGAACGAAAUAUGCAACAAUUGUAUAAAAACAUGCAUAAAUGAUAAACCAAUCCUACAAACAUGUUAAAUAAACAUAAGAUAUAUAAUAAUAAAAAAGCAGAAGGAGAACGAAGUGCUAAAAAUAGCAAGGAAAUUGUUUUUGGCGCAAGGAGAUUUACCCAAUAAAUAAGAGGACCGCCGGAGACACUGCCAAACUUGCGAUUGAUCAACGAAGGAACAAAAAUGCAAAAUAUUCUCUCAGCGAGGAAAACCCAGUACAUGAUCAGAACCGACCCAAAACAAAAUGUUUACAAUUUCAUCCAAAUCAAGCAAAACUCAAAAGAAAAACCAAACACAACACAUACCUAAGUCGCCAAAAAUAGAUUUCCCAGUGAUGCGAAAACGGCCGGCCCUCAAAGGAAAUACAAAACCGGAAAUAGAUCCAACCAAAAUCGGUGAAGAAUAGAGGGAAACAAACGCAAACACCGCAAAAUAUUCACCGUCGAUCGCAACCCCAAAAAUUUUGCGAAACAAUUUUACGACGGAGGACAAAACACCCCAAACCCUAGGUUUAAACAAAUGGAAAACCUCCCUCAAAUCAGAGACCACAAACACGAUCCCCUAAACCACAAAAAUCAGAAACUUGGUCCAAUAUAUUCCAAACCAAAGAUAGCGAAGAACAACAAAGAACCCGAGAGGAAGAGUGAGGAUAAAGUAGAGAUGAGAGAAAAACCAAAACAGAGAAUGGGCUAAAGAAAAAAGAAAAAUCUGGAAGCAGAGAGAGCGAGGAUCACAAACACGUGGAAAGAACGGGUAAAACCGUCUUUCCACUAGGGGUGGGUUCAAAAAACCGAAAACCGAAAAAAAUCGAAAACCGAACUGGAUCGAGGUCGAAAAAAACCGAACCGAAACUGUCAAACCGAACCGAACCGAAUUUGGUCAGUUCGGUUUCGGUUUUUAAGGUUUGGAAACCGAACUGAACCGAACAGAUAUAUAUAUAUUUAAUUAUUUUUUCAAUAUUAUAAAUAGUUUAGUCAUACAAUCAUAACAAAACAUAACUUGUUACCAGGUUGGUUUGCUUGAAGCUUUUCAAGCCCCUGCGCAUGGGUUUGAAUCCUCAUGCCUCCAGGGUUUCAUAAAAGUUUUUUUGUUUUUUUGAGAAAUCAACAAACCCUUUAACCCUAACCGCACCUUUUAUUUUUUUUCAUUCCUCUCUUCUCUCUCUCAUUCCCUGCCUCCAGUGUAACCCUAGCCCAGUAACCCUCUCACGCAGCCGAGCCUCAUCUCUCUCUCGUUUUCCAGUUCGCGCAACCUCUGAGCCUCCCCUCUCUCUCUCUCGGUCUUCAAUCACUUUCUCACUCUCUUUGUCUCUCUAUGAAGAGCUUCAUCGAAGCCAAGCGCAAGGAACGCGAGGCUCGCGAGAAGGACGAGUAGUAAUGGUGCGAGGUGGAGGGCAGCAAAUCCCCCGAGGUCAAGAAGAGCGAGGAAGAAGCCGAGAAGUGGGCGGAGGCUGCCACGCAAAAGUCCGAGGCCCGCCGAUUGGCGGAUCUGGAGGAGAAGGAGCUCGAGAAGGAGCAGCAGGAGGCGUUGGAGAAGAAAUCGGAUGAGGUGAAAAAGAAGCAGAGCCGUACGGUCGAGAAGGAGGAGUAUGAAAGGAUGGUGGUUGUGGAGAAUAAGAAUCGGGAUGAUUCGUUUAGGAGGCUCAAGGCUUCGUUUAAGGUAAGUUUUUUUUUUUUUUUGUUAUUGGGAGAAUUUAGGGUUUGUUGGGUUAGGGGUAUUGGAUUACAUUGGUUUCAAUUUCGUUUUGGAUAGUAAUGCAUUCAGAUUCAGAAUAGAAUUGUUCUAGUUUGUAUUGAAUAACUGAGCUUUAGAAAUUAGGAAUGGUACUGUACUAGUUUGAAGCUCUGGGAAUUAUUUGAGUAAGGAAUCCGACUCGGCAUUGAAAACAUGCGACUCGGUGUGUAUGAGUGUGCUUGAUUGCUUGUGUUGGCUCUGAAUCGUUGGUAGAACACCUCUUUUAGACAUAUGGGUUGCCUAUCCAGUCCUGAGCACUUUCUGUUUCAUCAUGGAGCUCUGAAAUCUCACGGAUUUUUUUUGCUGUUGAAUAAAAAAUAAAAAACCGAACCGGGCCGAAACCGAACCAAAAAAAAAUCGAACCGAAAAAAAUUUGAACCGAACCGAAAUUUCGGUUCGGUUUCGAUUUUGGCAAAAAACCGAACCGUUUUGAACCGAACCCAACCCUACUUUCCACUGCACCAAGCAAGCCACACAAAGGAAGAAACAUGAAAAACAAAGUGGCAAAAGAGUCCACAUACUGGUCAUCCACAGUGCCCCGGGGGAUUGGGUUUUAGUAUAUAAGACUAGAAAUUAUUGCCCGCAUGUUGUUGCGGGAUUAAAAAUUGUAAAAAUCCUUGUGUUUGAAAGAUAUAAAAGAUUGUGUCAUAGAAAAUCAAUACAAUUCUUUGCUAUAUUUAAUUGAUACUCCACACAAAAAUCGUAGAAGUUUUGGCUAUCUAUGUAUAUAAAAUAUUAGAUCAACACAUUCCACUUAGGUAGUUUUUGUGAUUUUCAAUCGACAGUAGUACUUAUAUACAAAAGAUUAUGAAACUUUGGGCUAUUUACAUGCAAAAAAUGUUAAGAAAUAUUAUGUCAUUUACAUUGAUAAAAUAUGACAAGAAUUGUUCAAUGGAACACCAAAAGUUCCCUCCAGUACUCUUGAUUGUCAACAAAGUAGUUUAAACCAAUCCAAAUACCAAAACUCUUUCAAAGUUCCAUGUGUCUUCAGUUUCUGUAAAUCAACCAACUUCUCCAUUCCAAACUAUCGAACAAAUAUUUAACAGCAAUACAACCAACCACCAACCCAUCCACAGACCAAAACCCUUUCAAAUUUCUGUGUAUUAAUGAUUAUCAACUAAAUUAUUUGGAGAUGGAGACACACAGAGCUAGCAUAGGAACCAAAGAAGAUCUACAAAAGCAAGUUAAGAGAUCAUCGUAUUACAGAAGCAAAUUACAUAAUAAAAUUAAGAAAGCAUCAUAUUACAAAAGCAUAAUAAUGUUCAUUUCCAAAUGUAUUACAAAAACCUAUGGUUUCAUUCCACAUCACAUAAUUCCCAAGGUUUUUUUUUUUUUUUUUUUUAAACCACAAAAUUUACAGCCUAGUUCAAAGAAUUUGAUCUGAUUAUUAAUAUUCACAUGGAAAAGAUAAAGACUCAAAUGAACUGGGCAUUUGAAAUCACUUUCUUAUGUCUUAUAACCACAUUAGUAUCAUACAUAUACAAACGUAGCAAAAGAGAAUAGCAAGUGCAAGCACAGAUCUUGUGAUAGUAUACAAAAAAAUGACUAAACCCGAAAUUCCCAACACAUACACCAAUCUUAUACAUAAAUCGAUAUCUUAUCGAGAAGAAAUUAGAAUAUCAAAAUCCUAAACAAAACAUGAGGCACAAUUAUCACAAUUAGAAAAAUAUUUCAAAUAAGAGCCAAACCAAAAAUGCACAUAAAGGUAAGUUAUGAACUCAAAUAAAACUCACUCUGAUGCUCAUUUCUAAUUAUGAAUGCUCUCGAGACUCCAAUCUUCUCAUCCCAGUCGAAAAUUAUCUAUACUAAAGUAGGGGGAGGGCAGGCACUAUUCACGUUUGUUUUGAUUUUGCUUUAUUUACAACAAUACCAGCCGCAUGUGGCUGGGUUGGGAGGGUGAUUCUAAAAAAUUCAGAGGGUACUAAAGUAGAGGAGAGGGCAGGCACUAUUCACGUUUCUUUUGAUUUUGCUUUAUUUACAACAAUAUCAGCCGCAUGUGGCUGGGGGGAGGGUGAUUCUAAAAAAUUCAGAGGGUAAUUUUAUCCAAAUGGUUUAGCAGGGAGCCACUCACUUUCAUGCUAUUUACAACAAAACCGUCAGGUUUGGGCUGAUAUAUGGGCUGGGUUGGAAGGGCAAUUUUGUCCUGUGCGUUUGAGACCGAUUGGGGUGGGUUUAGGUUUGCUGUCAUUCGACAGGAGGCCAUGCCGUUUCUGAGAUAGAGGGAGAGAGAGAGAGGGGGACAGAGCGAGAGAGAGGGAUUUCAGGGAUUUGCAAAUCCUUCUCCUUCACACAGAAGCUCUGCAAAUCAGUAGGCCCAACCUCUAACUCUCAUCCCCAGAUCCCCUUCAUACUGCAAAUGAGUUCCUCCCCCUUCAGUUCCUCCGCUCUCAAACCUCACUUUCUUCCUUUCACAAAUACCAACGAAGAACAUGAUCAAGGACACACAGGCGCACCAACGCCUCCAUUUUCCGGCGAAACAUCACCACAUAACCACUCAUUCCCUCCAUUCUGCUCAGGACACACAGGCGAUUGCCUUUCACUGUGCAGUGGCUACUGCCACUGUUCAUCGGCUUCUCCUACGAGACAGCAGGGGUAUGCAGAGAUCAUAAUAGAUGGGCUUUUAUAUAUAUAUAUAUAUAUAUAUAUAUAUAUAUAUAUAUAUAUAUAUAUAUAUAUAUAUUAUACCAUUAGUUUCUGAAUACUCUGUUUUUACUUUUAGAUUUAUUCAGUCUCUUUAUAGUUGGUCUUUUCAGUUUAACCUUCUUAGUGUUUUCUGAUCUCCAUAAGGUCUGAGCAGUAAGGCGUCACCCAAAUAGUAAGUCCCGGAGGAUAGGGCCUGAGCGGCGCGCAUGACCCAGAGAGCUUGGCGUUUAGAGUCACUAGUAAGAUUUUCUGUUAAGGUUUCUGUAUUUUGAUUGUUUGAAUUUAUUGGUAUGAGUAGAUUGUUUAGAUCUAAUUCUAUGGCCAGCACUAGCUCUAGAUCAAAUUUAGGAACAAUACCUGAUAUUGUCAAUGAAGAACAAAAAUUUGAAUUUCAAACAGACAGUAGUCUAGAUUUUGCUGAAUGGAAUAUUCCAAAAAUAUCUUCAAAAAAUAUUUAUAAAAAGAAAUGGGCAUUCGCCUCUUUUAAAACUGAACAUCAUGUUAAAACAGUUGAACAAGCUUAUGCUCUUAGUAAAGAUCAUGAAACCUGUCAACUAUUUACCCCAGAACAAAUUAAUUCCCAUAGGAAAGAUGGUCAUAAUUAUAUUCAUAUAGGUUUAGUGCAAAUUGCAGCCAAACCUUUAACACGUAGAGGUCUUAAUACCUCUAUCCUCUUAUGUCUUCGAGAUGCUAGAUUCAAUGACUUUAGUGAUAGCAUACUUGGUAUGGUUGAAUCCAGCCUCUGUAAUGGACCUAUCCACUUUGAUUGCUUUCCAGAUCUUACCAUAAGUCUAUCAGACCCACAUAUGUUACCCUACUUCCGCACCCAUUUGGUAUCAGAGCCAAGUGGUUGGUUAUACCAUUAGUUUCUGAAUACUCUGUUUUUACUUUUAGAUUUAUUCAGUCUCUUUAUAGUUGGUCUUUUCAGUUUAACCUUCUUAGUGUUUUCUGAUCUCCAUAAGGUCUGAGCAGUAAGGCGUCACCCAAACAGUAAGUCCCGGAGGAUAGGGCCUGAGCGGCGCGCAUGACCCAGAGAGCUUGGCGUUUAGAGUCACUAGUAAGAUUUUCUGUUAAGGUUUCUGUAUUUUGAUUGUUUGAAUUUAUUGGUAUGAGUAGAUUGUUUAGAUCUAAUUCUAUGGCCAGCACUAGCUCUAGAUCAAAUUUAGGAACAAUACCUGAUAUUGUCAAUGAAGAACAAAAAUUUGAAUUUCAAACAGACAGUAGUCUAGAUUUUGCUGAAUGGAAUAUUCCAAAAAUAUCUUCAAAAAAUAUUUAUAAAAAGAAAUGGGCAUUCGCCUCUUUUAAAACUGAACAUCAUGUUAAAACAGUUGAACAAGCUUAUGCUCUUAGUAAAGAUCAUGAAACCUGUCAACUAUUUACCCCAGAACAAAUUAAUUCCCAUAGGAAAGAUGGUCAUAAUUAUAUUCAUAUAGGUUUAGUGCAAAUUGCAGCCAAACCUUUAACACGUAGAGGUCUUAAUACCUCUAUCCUCUUAUGUCUUCGAGAUGCUAGAUUCACUGACUUUAGUGAUAGCAUACUUGGUAUGGUUGAAUCCAGCCUCUGUAAUGGACCUAUCCACUUUAAUUGCUUUCCAGAUCUUACCAUAAGUCUAUUAGACCCACAUAUGUUAAAAGCACUUACAUUAAAUAUCAAAACUUCAGGAUACAAAGUCCUUGAAGGAACACAGCCUAUAGACGAAACUUCUGUAAGUCUCGUUUAAUUUUCAAUAAAUAUUUUCAAUCGAAUAUCAGCAUCAUUAAUUUAAUCAUGAAUACUAAAUCUAUUUUAAAUUUAGUUUUGUUUAUAUAUGCUCUUGUUAUUAAUCCUAAAAAUUUUACAUUGAUAUUAAUCAAAUUCUUUGAAUUCCCAAAUACAUAUAUCGGAUAUUUCCGGCUUCCUAUGUUACCCUACUUCCGCACCCAUUUGGUAUCAGAGCCCAAAUGGGUGCGGAAGUAGGGUAACAUAUGUGGGUCUGAUAGACUUAUGGUAAGAUCUGGAAAGCAAUCAAAGUGGAUAGGUCCAUUACAGAGGCUGGAUUCAACCAUACCAAGUAUGCUAUCACUAAAGUCAGUGAAUCUAGCAUCUCGAAGACAUAAGAGGAUAGAGGUAUUAAGACCUCUACGUGUUAAAGGUUUGGCUGCAAUUUGCACUAAACCUAUAUGAAUAUAAUUAUGACCAUCUUUCCUAUGGGAAUUAAUUUGUUCUGGGGUAAAUAGUUGACAGGUUUCAUGAUCUUUACUAAGAGCAUAAGCUUGUUCAACUGUUUUAACAUGAUGUUCAGUUUUAAAAGAGGCGAAUGCCCAUUUCUUUUUAUAAAUAUUUUUUGAAGAUAUUUUUGGAAUAUUCCAUUCAGCAAAAUCUAGACUACUGUCUGUUUGAAAUUCAAAUUUUUGUUCUUCAUUGACAAUAUCAGGUAUUGUUCCUAAAUUUGAUCUAGAGCUAGUGCUGGCCAUAGAAUUAGAUCUAAACAAUCUACUCAUACCAAUAAAUUCAAACAAUCAAAAUACAGAAACCUUAACAGAAAAUCUUACUAGUGACUCUAAACGCCAAGCUCUCUGGGUCAUGCGCCGCUCAGGCCCUAUCCUCCGGGACUUACUGUUUGGGUGACGCCUUACUGCUCAGACCUUAUGGAGAUCAGAAAACACUAAGAAGGUUAAACUGAAAAGACCAACUAUAAAGAGACUGAAUAAAUCUAAAAGUAAAAACAGAGUAUUCAGAAACUAAUGGUAUAACCAACCACUUGGCUCUGAUACCAAAUGGGUACGGGCUAUCAAAACUUCAGGAUACAAAGUCCUUGAAGGAACACAGCCUUUGGCCUUAAUUUACAGGAUUUAUUAUAAAGUCACUGGCACAAAUAUGAACUUCCAGGCUUUAACCAAAAGUCCGAAGGAUCACACUCUCCUGAUCCAGACUGAUCAAGAGAAUGCCAAUAUAAAAAUACCUCGAACCAUUAGGUGGUCAGAAAUCAAUCUCCCUUCAGAUUGGUGUCUGAUAAACGAGAGUCGGCCAGUAGCCAUUCAAAAUAGUCUAGUUAAUUUAGACAACGUAGAACAAUACUUUGACGGUACGGUUAAAAUUAAUUUUGAUCGUCCUGCUAGGAAAUCCUGUGAUUCUAAUAGAUCACUUAAAUCCUUUACUUCCAAUAGGAAUUCUUUCUCUGGAUCUAUGCCAAACGAUAGGCAAGGUCGAGACCAAGAAUUAAUCAAUUCCCUAGCUAAUAGGAAAUUAAAAUCAGUAGACACAGGCUCAUCUGUCACCCAACAAGAAUUAAUAAAUGACCUUUUAAAUUUCAAACUCCAAUCACUUGAGACAAACGCUCAAGUAGUCCAGCCUACCUAUCAUACCCCAUCCAUUCCUCCUAAGGAUGAACAAACAUCCCCAACUGCUUCUGAUUUUGAUGCAGAUCCAGUCCAUCACCAAUUAUUGGUUUUAACCCGACAAGAACCUUUUAAAUAUGAUCGUAAAAAACUCUGUAGAGACAUAGAAGCCCUAGAAAAUGUCCCUCGACGAAAUAUCUUCAGAAGUAAAUAUACUACUGAAGAAAAAUUAGAAAUCCAUAAAGCAUGGAAAGACUUCAUGCAAACCAACAGACUUGAAAUCUUUUUCUUCGACUUCGUAGAAAAACAUUAUGAGUCUGAACACCAACUAAAGGUAAUCACCAAAGAAAACUGGCUUAAGGAAGACAAGUCCAUUGUCUCCUCUAGUCACCCUCCACAAGAAACUAUUCUUAUUAGUACUGCGAAUACGCAGGUCUCAGCUUCGCCAUUCAAACUUCCGAAGGAAGAUGCAGGUGUCAAACCUGUUAUUGAACAAAACAAUUUUACCAACCAAAGCCUACAUAUCAUAGGAAACAGUUGGAUAAGAUUGAAACCAAGGUUGACAACUUGUCAAUUAAACCACUUAGUAAAGAAAUACCUUUAACUAGUUUUAGAGAGUCACCCUCUUUAAAAACCUCAACAUCCAUUAAGAUAGAACAGAUGCUUAAUAAGCUAGAAAAGGAUAAAUCAGUUCGUGUGAUUAAUAAUCCACAUGAUUCUGAAACACCUCCCUCAAUUCCGGAUUCAGAAGAUGAAAGUGUUGAUUCCAUCCAUCAAAUGGAACAAGCCUUUCAGAGUCUUGAAUUAAAACGUCUUAAUGUCAAAAGAACUAAUCCUACAUCCUUAACCAAAAACUGGUAUCCCAGACCAACACCUCCUGAUCUUCAAUUCGAAGAAAGGAAUUUCCAAUCCCAAUUUACCGUCUCAUCUGAUAAACUCUAUGAAUGGAAUAUAGAUGGUUUAUCAGAACAAGAGUUAUUAAACAAACUCCAACACAUCUCCAUGGUAGCAAAUAGCUAUAUCACUAAUCAUGACCUUAGUCAAACUCAAAUCGUCGACAUCCUUGUCUCUGGAUUCACAUGAAUGCUUCAUUCCUGGUGGGAAAAACAUCUCACUGAAGAUUCCAGAAAUCUAAUAAGAAAUGCGGUAAAACAAGAUGAAGAAGGAAUACCUAUCUUCGAUGAACAUCUAGGACGUGGUGUCCCAGAUGCAGUUAAUACCUUGCUCUACACAAUCAUACAACAUUUUAUAGGAAUCCCCUCCAACAUCACAUCUAGAAUCCAUGACCAACUAAGUAACUUAAGGUGUCCAACCCUAAGUGAUUUUAGAUGGUAUAAAGAUAUAUUUAUGUCAAGAGUUAUGCUUAGAGAUGAUAGUAAUCAACCAUUUUGGAAAGAAAAAUUUAUAAAUGGAUUACCAAACCUUUUUGCACACAAAAUAAGGAAUACCUUAAUUAAUGAAGAUGGUAUUAUACCAUAUAAUGAUCUUACUUAUGGACAUAUCAUAAGUACUAUCCAAAAAGAAGGCCUAAAAAUGUGCAUAGAUAUGAAAAUAUCUAGACAUGCACAAUCUGAUAAGGCAAUAGCCAAAUACGAAUUAGGAACAUUCUGUGAGCAAUAUGGUCUGCCACCUAUAGCUCCUUCCAAUAUUAAAAAGAGAUCGACUACCUUCAAUAGAUCUAAGAUCUCCAGACCACGGACCAACUACUCCAAAUAUCAUAAAGGCAAGUAUGCCAAACCAAACCCAUUUUAUGAAAACCCCAGACAGAAAAGAUGGAAAGGAAAGAGAAAAUCCUCUGGAAAAUUCCAUUCUAAAGACAAUAGUCAUAAGGGAAAAUGCUACAAAUGUGGCAAAGAAGGGCAUUAUGCCAAUAAGUGUAAAGUUAAGAAAACCAUAAGUCAGUUGAAGAUUUCUGAGGAAGAAAAGCUUCAACUUAUCCAAGCCCUAGAACUCCAAAAUACCGACAGUAGUCAUUCAUCUGAAGAUGAUCUAGGAUCUACCCCAUCAUCCUCGUAUCAAUCUGCCUCUAGUAAGCACUCUACUCCAAACAUCAAGCUCGGAUGUCCUGAUGCUUGUUGUAAAAACAUAUCAGUAUUAACUAAACAAGAAAAACAAGAAGAAUUACUCUUAGAGUUAAUAAGCAAUGUUGAGGAUACUGAACUCAAAAGGUUCUACCUCAAAAAACUUAAGAACUUAGUUUCUCACGAAGAAUUAGGCACUAGCCAAUCUCAAAUUCAAAAACCACAAAUCUCUCUUAGUUCUACACUAGCAAAGUUUAGUAAGACUAAGAAGGAAAUUACGGUCAGUGACCUCCAAAAAGAAAUCAACCAGAUAAAAGAAGAAAUUAAACUUCUAAAAUCUGAUAAUUACGAGAUUCAUACUCAACUCACUAAAAUUAAUACUCCUCUAAAAGAAGAACUAUUCAGUUCCUCUUCUUCCAGUAGUCACCAUGAAUCAGAAUCUGAUACACAUUCAGAACACUUAGUUCUGAAUCUUCUUCACAAAAUUAGAAUCCAAAAAUGGUAUUCUAAAGUAACAAUAGUAAUUGAAGAUUUUCACUUCGAAGCCAUUGCUUUGAUUGAUUCAGGUGCAGACUUGAAUUGUAUUCAGGAAGGACUAAUCCCCACUAGGUAUUUCCACAAAUCAAAGGAAAUCCUUAGUGCUGCUAAUGAAUCUCCAAUGGAAAUCAAAUAUGAACUUCCUAAAGCGCAUGUUUGCCAGAAUGAAGUUUGUUUCAAAACACCUUUCGUCCUAAUUAAGAACUUAUUUGACCCUGUCAUACUAGGACUACCCUUUAUAGCACUCCUCUAUCCUUUUAACACAUCAUAAUAGGAUUACCUCAAAGGUCUUAGGACAGAAAGUCAAUUUUGAGUUCUGCCUGGAAACAGACCUCAAAAAACUUAGGCAUCUCCAAAAGGAUAACACUUCGCGAUCCUUAAACAUAAUCUCUAAUAAGACUAAACAUCUUCAAUUCUUGAAAGAUGAUAUUCAUCACAAGAAGACUGAAGAACAACUCAAACAAGAGAUUGUAUCUCAAAAAAUCCUUAAAUUUGAAGAGCAACUUGUUAAAGAAGUAUGUUCUGAUAUUCCCAAUGCCUUUUGGCACCGCAAAAAACAUAUCGUUAAAUUACCUUAUAUCAAGGAAUUUAAUGAGUCAAAAAUCCCUACUAAGGCCAGACCUAUUCAAAUGAGUCAAGAAGUAAUGAAUUUCUGUAAAGCAGAAAUACAAGACCUUCUUAAUAAAGGAAUUAUCCGUAAUAGCAAGUCACCUUGGUCGUGUCCUGCAUUUUAUGUUCAGAAAAGUGCAGAACUUGAAAGGGGAUCUCCCCGAUUAGUUAUUAACUACAAACCUUUGAAUGAAGUUUUGGAAUGGAUUAGAUAUCCAAUCCCCAACAAAAGAGAUUUAAUAAAAAGGCUUAGUAAAGCAACUAUCUUCUCAAAGUUUGAUAUGAAAUCAGGUUUUUGGCAAAUCCAAAUUCAUGAAUCUGACAAAUAUAAAACUGCUUUUGUAACGCCUUUCGGCCAUUAUGAAUGGAAUGUUAUGCCUUUUGGUUUGAAAAAUGCACCAUCUGAAUUCCAGAAUAUUAUGAAUGAGAUUUUUAAUCAGUAUAGUCAUUUUACGAUUGUUUAUAUUGAUGAUGUUCUUAUUUACUCCAGAUCUAUAGAUGAACACUGGAAACAUUUACAUUUGUUUGUUAGGAUCAUUAGAUCAAAUGGAUUGGUUGUGUCAGCCCCUAAGAUUAAAUUAUUUCAACUUAAGGUUAGAUUCUUAGGUUAUAAUAUCCAUAGAUCUACCAUCCAACCAAUUGACCGUGUCAUCCAAUUUGCAGAUAAGUUUCCUGAUCAGAUUACUGAAAAACCCCAGCUUCAAAGAUUCUUAGGUUCUUUGAAUUAUGUUUCUGAAUUUUAUCCACAUUUGCGUCAGCAAUGUAAACCUUUGUUUGAUCGCCUUAAGGAAAAUCCUCCUGCUUGGUCUACCAUUCAUACUUCUAUUGUCAAACAGAUUAAAAAUCAUGUUAAGACUUUGCCCUGUCUUGGCAUUCCAACUCCCAACUCUUUUAAGAUUGUUGAAACUGACGCCUCUGACGUUGGUUAUGGAGGUAUCCUCAAACAGCAAACUUCCUCCGGAUCACCUGAACAAAUUGUUCGUUUCCAUUCAGGUGUAUGGAAUCCUGCUCAAACUAAUUAUAGUACUAUUAAAAAAGAAAUACUAUCUAUAGUUUUAUGCAUUAGUAAAUUUCAAGAUGAUUUAUUAAAUCAAAAAUUUCUUGUUAGAGUUGAUUGCAAAUCUGCAAAACAUGUUUUACAAAAAGAUGUUCAAAACAUUGCAUCAAAACAGAUUUUUGCACGAUGGCAAGCCAUAUUAUCAAUCUUUGAUUUUGAAAUAGAAUACAUUAAAGGCAGCCAUAACUGCAUUCCAGAUUUCCUAACCAGAGAAUUUUUGCAGGGGAAGAAUGUCUAAUAAAAACACAGCUUCUCCACAAGGCAGUAGCCAACUAAGGAGGCUUCCCGCCUCAUUACCACCACCAAAACAGGAACCUAUUCCCGGUUCCUCGGCCCUAGCCAUUACCAAUAGAUUUACUCCAUUAGGAUCAACUCUAGGAAGUAUCCGACCAAAUUACCAAACAGCGUUAGUAAACCAGUAUGAUCCUUUCUCCUCCACCUACAGGCAAUCGCCAUCUCCCUCAGUAAGUUAUACUAAAACAUCCCCUUAUAUUAUUAAACCCUCCAAAGAGUAUCUCUUCAGUAUCCCUUUCAACUUCAAACAUCUGAAAACACCUGAGGUAAUAGCCAAAAAGAUGUUUCCAACCAAUUCCCAUUUUCAGCCAAGUGAAUUUCACAAAACCCUCAAGUAUUAUACUACUAUUCUCAAUGAGACUUCCUCCAUCACCAUAAAACCCAUCUUUGAUAAAACCUCUGGCAAUCAAAACAGAAUCCUGUAUCAUUCCCUUACCAUCAAUAAAUUCUUAUUAGAGUCAGAAUGGCAAGUGCCUCUUUUUCAGCCCAAACCUUUUAAAAGCAGUAGCUUUCCCAGUCACUCAAACCAUUAUACCUAUUUUGAUUACAUUCAAGCUUGGACUAACAUCUUCCUACACCAAUCCGAAGAUUUUAGUCAUUCAUGGUUCAUAACCUUUGAUCGAAGUUUCAGAUUGAAUUUUCCUGCAUGGUUUCCCAGAUGGUGGUCAGAACAUGGCCUUAUCUCUGACCUCAUGCCAGAUGAAUUCAAGCAAGUCUUAUCAGGCACCUUCCAGAAGAAGUUCGAUAGAACGCGUUUCGAUGAAGGAAUCCCUUUGUUCGCCCUGUUGGCAAAAUACAAGACCCCCUGGAUUCUCCGCUGGAAUUACGAGAUUGAAUCCAAUCAAGUCUUCCGACAGAGAAUGAUCAAAUGGUGGGAUAAGUUCAACUACCAGAAGAUCAUUGAAGUCGUGCUCAAGGACUUCCCCAUGGGUCCUGAUUCAGUACCUGCAGUAGCGGCUCCUCCGGCAACAGCCUUACCAGAACCAACCAAGGAAGAAAUCGAUUCAUUAUCGGACAUUAGUCCUUCUUCCUCUCUCAAAGGCAAAACCAAGUCAUCCAAAUCUUCGAGCAGUUCGAAGAAAAAGAAAUCAUCAAAACUCAAGGCUCUAGCCAAAAUUCUCAUGAAGGAACUGCAAGAAGAAAAUGAAGAUAGUUCGGACUCCGACAACUCUUCGGAUGCUUCAUCACAGUGUGCAGUAGCCAAACAAGGGAAUAUCUUCCCGCCUGAUUCUCAAGAUCCAUACGAAUUUUAAACUUGUAAUAGCAUGUAUAGGAAUUUCUAAAUUCGUAUAAUUGUAGUCUCAGUAGGAUACAUUGUAUUUAGAUUCGAUAGAGUAUUUUGUAAUAACUGCAUAUGAUGACAAAGCCAGCCGCAUGUGAAAGCAGCAGUAGCAGACAAGGUACUAUUCAUGAAUAGUAAAAUCACUUUUACUAUUCAUCCACAGUAUUCACCCUCGUGAAAGUCACAGUCCCCGACAGCAUCUUCUGCUUUCGGCCUCUUUACAGCAGUAGCACAUGGAGAACGGGAAUCCCGCUUCCAUCCCUCAAUCUUGUCGGCCUUCCUCAUCAAUAAAAGGAACUCUCCAGCUAUCGGAGAAGGGGGCUUCAAUUUUUGAAGAAACAGAAAACUCUGCGUAUUCAUAUCGAACAGAGUCUACAGCUUCUCAGCAAAAAUAUUGUACUACAUAUAUAUAUUACAAUUUAGAUCAGGGAUGCCUGCGAGCUCCAAGAUCAGUCUUUAAAUUUUCAAAUCGUCAAUAGACGAAACUUCUGUAAGUCUCGUUUAAUUUUCAAUAAAUAUUUUCAAUCGAAUAUCAGCAUCAUUAAUUUAAUCAUGAAUACUAAAUCUAUUUUAAAUUUAGUUUUGUUUAUAUAUGCUCUUGUUAUUAAUCCUAAAAAUUUUACAUUGAUAUUAAUCAAAUUCUUUGAAUUCCCAAAUACAUAUAUCGGAUAUUUCCGGCUUCAUAUGUUACCCUACUUCCGCACCCAUUUAUAUAUAUAUAUAUAUAUAUAUAUAUUAUAUAUCUUUUACAUAAUGCUCUUAAAUUUCAAUUAUACAUAACAUGGAGUAAGGUUAUAACUCAUCAUCAUCAACAUCGUAUUUAUAACAAUGUUGCCAAAAUGCAUUCUGAUUAUCAGGUAUAUCACUAUGGAAGAACUAGAGCAAGUCCUCCACGAAUAAGGCUUCCAUGAUGAAUUUUAAUCUUUCCAGGUACACCCAUAUCUAUAUCCCAAACAACUGUUAUUAUGUAUCAAUUUGUUAGAGUCAACAAAUGUUAGAGUUAAUUUAUAUAAUUUAUUUUUUGCUUUCCAGGUACAAUCGUAUCUCACUCCCUCUGGUACUCUCUCUCUCUCUCUCUCUGAAAUCUCUGUUGGGUUUCUACCAAUAUGUCAAUUUGUAUAAUUUAUUUCUUGAUGUGAUUAUGUGAGAUUUGGUGCAUUUGAUUUGGGUUAUGGUUUGAGAUGUUAUUUGGAAGAUUUCAUUUUUGAGUUGGAUUCAUGGUUUUUGCUUAAGAUCUCUUUUUUUUUUUUUUUUUUAAUUGUUGUUGUAGCUUGCUGUGUAUGUGAUAUUUUCUUCCAUGUCCAAUAUUAUCCAAAUUCAUUACUGCAUUUCAAGAGCUUGCGACUUAUAACUUCGCUCCCAACUCCCAAGUGAGUCUUAGAUAGCAAAUCACCCUAAUAACCUUUCUAAAUACGUUAAAUGGUGAAAGUGAGAAAUGGGGAAUCUAAAUGGUGGUGUGGUACAUCAUGUAGAAUAUUGGGAUUGGCUACUGAUUUGUUUUUCCAGAUUAGGAGGAAAAGAGAAAUCAUGUGCAUUUCACUGUUUUGGAGCAUUGCAAAUAAAUACAAUACACAAACAAAUUAGCAAAAGAUAAAGGAACAUGCUUAAUGACUGAUUGGUUUAUGGAUUAGUAGUAUUAUUUGUGGUGUAGAUCAUGGUUUUCAGGUCUUUUACAAUUUUAGUAGUUGUGCUUAAGGGUAGAUGACGAUGAUGUAGGAUGGAGAUAGUUUUUAGAGAAUGCUGGAUAUACAUUCGUUAGAGUACAUUCAAGUAGUUUUGUGUUCCUGUGAGGUAUUUGGUAUUCCUCAUAGUUUCGUUCUUGACCAUAUUCCUUCUUGAAUCUUCAUCGAUUAAAUGUUUCCUUGAGCAUCUUCUUUAAAUUUGUCUUUUAUAUUUGAUCCAGUUAUGAUUUUCCCUACCUUUGUGUAUUUAUAACCAGAAGAAGUGAUUUUUCUAAUUGUGAUAAUUGUGCCUCAUGUUUCGUUGAGGACUUUGAUAUUCUAAUUUCUUCUUGAUAAUACAUCAUUUUUGUAAGCGUAUACGGGUACUUAUUUUUCAGCAUUGUUUAAAGAUCACAUGCUUUACUGAAUCUAAAAAUAGUGACCACUGAAAGAUUUGACCCCUUCAAAGGCCUAUGGAACUUAAAGUAUUUCUUUGUGGUUAAUUACUGAUAGAAGUUUAAAUUGGGAAAAGAACAUGCAAGUGGAUUACUGGUUUAUCAUGAAUAUGAUUUUCAAUUUGUUGGUGCUACAACAAAAACGUGUCCUUAACUGUAAGAGGAAUCCUACUUUGUGACUUUGGUUACCGAUUUAUGAUGAAUAUGAUUUUCUUAGCUUAUUAUCAGGACAAUGUUAAUUUCACUUGAUUAUUUCACAUUUUCCAGCUCAAUCUUUGAUUUUGAGUCUUUCCGAAAGCUGUUAUCAUCUCCAAAAUCCAUAUUCUGGUAUGUAGAUAGCUGCUAAGUGCUGCAACUCACUAAGUUUGGCCACAUGCCUUCAUUGUAGCAUAUGCCCUCUGUGACAAGUAAGCAUUAUAAUUCCACUUUAUGGAUUGAUAUUAAGUUGGGUUAUGGAAUAAUACAAGGUCGUGUCAUGGUUGAACAUUUCUACAUUCUUUAUAGCUAGGGUUAUUUUUUUUCUUUGUGAAAUUUUGACGUCUUGCUUUUCAGUUAAGAAGCCCGAUUAUUGUUGCAAUUUUAUGGCGUGUCACUAAUAAAUAUUUGUACAUUAUUUUGAUUAACCAAUUUUCUAGGAAAAUGGCUUUUGUGAAUUAUGGUUAGACAGAGUAUUUGAAUUUUUUUUCCUGUUGAAAAUUGCAGGGCACAGUGAAUAAUUUCUCUAUCAUUAUUUUGUUUGAAAUUAGCUUCUCUAUCAAAUUUGAAGUCUAUAUAUGCCAAUAGAACCAUAUAAUUAUAAUAGUUGGGACAGUUUCUGCAAAUCUUUUUGUGACUUUUUAAUGGGUAUAUUGUUCCAUUGCUUUCCUGCAGGUAUAUAUAUUUUGGCCAUUUGAUAAUGUGAAUGAAUACGCAAGGUUUUGAUGAUACUAUGUAGGUACAAUUUUAGACUUUUAGUGUUUACAAUCUGAUACCUCAUUGACCAUGGGAUUCCAUUUCAGUCUGUUUUUUUAUUGGUUUGUUAUGUUUUAACUUCGAUUAGCCAAAACAAUGUUGAACGACAUUUCAGUCUUCUUUUGAUGAAGUGUUCGAUUCAAGAGCAUAUAUAUUAUUUUUUUUUUCAACUUCUACUCUUUGGGUUUUUAUUGGAUAACAGGUAGUUUUCGAAUUUUCGGGAUUUGUUUGUACUAUGACAAAAUGAUUAAUAAGCUUGCUUACCUUGGAGUGAGUUGAAUCCAUUUUUGUUAAAUUUAUUGAUUAUCCAUUUUGGUCUCCCUCUUUGUUGCAAUAAAUUGUCGGAUGAAUUUGGUUUCAGGGGAACGUUAUCUUUUUUUAUUCUUAUACUGCACAAAAAAACAAAACAAUGCAUUGGGUGCAAGUAUGCGUUUUUUUAAUUAUUUAUUUAUGUAGUGUGAAAGUCAAUUGUGUUUUUGUUGCUGGAGUCGGGUUUGUACUUACUCUUGGGCUGCCGCUGGCAUUGGCCUUCAAUUCACCAUUAAAUGCGGAAGAGGAAGUCCACCUGCCAUAUGGUUAGAGCCUUGGAGGUGAAUGUUUUUUUUUUCUUUGAACAAGAUUUUGGGAAACAAUAUUAAUUGAAAUUUUUAUAUUCUGACAAGUGAGGUCAAGUUUUAGUGAUUUUGAUGCAUAUUGGGUUUAUGCAUAUUUUAUUACUGAUUUUGAUGCUGCCACCUUAUCUCAAUGUAUCACUUUAGACAUUUAUUCAGUUUCCUCUGCUGAUUGUACUUAUUUAAUAAAAUUUUGGAUGUUUUCGUUCUUGAUUCAUUUUGUUAGUGAAGGUAUUAAUCUUCUGCAGAUUACGACUUGCAUUUGGUUGUUCAUCUGGUUUUGUUUUUCUUAUUUGUAACACACCCUGAUCAGUGGCUGCCAAGCUUACUUGAAAAGGUUUGGCAUUUUAAUUAGCUUAGAUAUAAUUUGAAAAUUACGUUUUAUACACCAGUAUUCUGAAUAUAUUCUGGAUUAUGAUUAAUUUUCUUCUCCUUCCACGCUUGCUUUCUAUGAUAGACAAUGUGCCCUUUUUUUCUUAGAUAAAUUGCCUUUUCACUAUCUUGCAUGCUUCGGCAACAAAGAUUAAUAAAACUGCACGUCUAUUAGAGAGAGAGAGAGAGAGAGAGAGAGAGAGAGAGAGAGAGAGAGAGAGAGAGAGAGAGAGAGAGAGAGAGAGAGAGAGAGAGAUGUAGGGAGAAGUUGGAAUUGGAGAGAGAGAGGGUGAGGGAGGGAUGGGGUUGCUUUCCAAAGAUUUGUUUCGAAUUGUUUCUCCAGUUCUUUCUAUUUAUUUGGGAUUGCUUCCUUUUUCCUGAAUUAUUUUGGUCCAUGCCACUAAAAUCUGAUUUAUGCUAUUAAUUGCUGCUUAAAUGUGACUUUUGCUAUUAAUUUUUUACCUUUCAUGUUUAUGCUGCGUUUGGAUUACAUUCGAAUCAAAUAAUGUAGUUAAUCUUGAUAUGAAUUCUCUCUGCAACAAUAUUUAGGGACUUUAGUUUAAAUUAUCACUAUAUUGUUCUUGCUUUCCAACUCAGCUCUCUCUUUCUUCGCUGAUUUGCAUUUCAUUUGAGUAAUAUAAUCUGCAGCAAAUGCAGAUGCAGGUGCAAUUGCAGAUAAACAAACGACAAUGAACUGUUCAAAAUAUAUCCUUACACCAUGAAGAAAUUGUCAAGCUGUGGAUAACUAAUGUUUCUUUUCCGCCGUGUAAGUUUAUCUUACAUUGCCGGUCCCAAGCCCGGAUAAAGGAGGAGGGGGAGGGCGUCAGGUAGUCGACAGCCGGCACUCCAUGAUCACGUCGAAUCCUUAUGAAAGUUACAGGGCAUCCAGUAGCUCAGGCUGGCGUUCAGGUUGGCGAUCAAAGUAGCACAACACUACUACGCGAAAUUGGCUUUGGGUAAGCUUCCACUCUCUUCUAUUUAUAAUUCUUUGAGAAGUGAUUUUGGUUGGUGGUUUUGGAAGAGAUAAGUCCAAUUCAUAAGUGAACUAAGAAAAUAAUAUGCAUGUAUAAUGAAGUGGAAUUUUUCAUGGUAUUAUUAACAUGCAUGGUAUAAAUUUAGUUGUUGAUUUUGGCUUGGCAUGAAGAAUGGUGUGAAAAAAACUGAAAAACUAGAGCUACUCUACUGUUUAUGCAGCGAGGGAAGGGGAGGAAAGAAAAAACAGUUAAUUUAGUGCUCCAUUUUCUCAAUUGCUCUCCACGUUUUCUGCAAGCUCAAUCAUUUCAUAUCUUUCAAACUUAAUAGUUUUUACUUUUUUGUGUAUAUAUUCUGUCUUGCAUUCUUUUAUUGGUUUUGAAACUAUAACUGAGUAUACCAUAGCACUACAACUUUCCAUUAAGUGGUUCCAAUGAUAUAGUUUCAUAUAUAAUACUCUUACACUCUUUUACUAAUUUUUGUUACAUGGGGUGGGGCUGAUUUUGAGGUUCCUUCUUCAGGAUUUGUUCUGUAAAGCCUGUUGGGUGCAAUUCAUUUUCCUCCUCCUUUCCCUUGAACGACAAAAUCGAAACCCACAACUCAAAACUCACUCAUUUGUUGCCCCUCCUUGGCAUGCCGCUUUACUCAUCUCCCGAUGGUUCUCUCUCUCCAUUCCAUUAGAUUUCAGUGAGUUCUUCGUUGCUGUCAUGAUUUCCCAGUUUGGUUUUUUGGGCGUCCUUAGUCGUUGUUUUUAUCUGGGUUUACUGCAUUGUUGCUUUUAGUUUCUGGAUUUUUAUUUUUUCCGCGGUUUGAUGAAUCGUGGUUAAUAAUUUCACACCAUGGGAUUUUCGCACUUCUGAUGGAAUUCAGUGUGAGGAUUUGUGGUGGGUUUUUACUGAUAUUGUCUUCAUUCAAAUGAAUGGUUAAAAUUUAUAGUGACGGAAGAAAUUUAUGAGUUUUAACAAAUUUGUAAAUUAUUCUUAUACAUUUUAUUGAGGGAUAUGGGGAUCUAAUUGAUUUCUCUCUGCAGUGCGAUUGAAAAUCGGGACUUUGUGGUACUCUCUCUCUCUCUCUCUCUCUCUCUCCCCUCCCUAUGUGUAUGAAUUGAGUUCUGAAGUGCGUGUGCAGGUGGGCGGUUCAUUAACUAAGCUUUCAAGGGGAGCCCAUCAACGGUUUGCUUACUGGGGGAAUACGGAGACUACCAGUGUAUUAUUUGGUUAUCUUUUAUUUUUUAUUUAAAUUUAUCCAUAUAUAAUGUGGGUAAAUUUAUACUAAACAAUUGUGAUAAGCUAGCAUGCCAUACGACUUUGAAAGCAUUGAUUUUGUGUUUGGUUUGGAUUUUGCAUUGUGAAUGUUGAGUUUUGUGUUGAAUUUUCUUUGUGACGUUCAGCUGUGUGGCAAUGGAUACAUUCUUCAACAGCAGCGUGUUAUCCCGGUGUGUUACUUUGCUAAGGAAGCAAGUUGCUCUAUGCUAAAGGAGGAUGGUGAGUCGACAUUCUCGGCCCUAUUUAAGGUUAUCAUAUGCUAUUCAUUGUGAUUUGCAAGGUUUCCCAAAAUAACAACAUUCAAAAAAAUGGGUUGGUUUCACUUUUAACAAAUUUACGUUGGUUGUCAUCUGUAAAUGUUAUACAAUGCUGAGUUCCAAACUUUAUCUCUGACAUUUUAGUGUGUUUUAGAUAGGAUGCAGUUAUGGCCGAAUAGCUAUGUAUUUUUUUUAUCUUAUUUUUUUCCUUCCUUUCGCUAUUAUUAGGUGCACAGUACAGGGUAGACAAGCUUAGUGGAUUUCCUAAAUGACGAGAAUUUUGGAAUUGAAAACAUGAUGGGAUUUAAGGAACUACCCAUGGGCUGUAGUUUUCCCCAUUUGUAAUUAGCAAUUUCUUUAAUCAUGUUAGUUUGAUAGUGUUUCGGUGGUCAGAAAAUUUAAGGAUUUAAAAUAUCAUGGGUUAGGGGUUUUAAGAAAUACCCAAGUUCUAUAGUUUAGCUCCUUUGUUCUUAUUAGGAUUCUUCAACUUUGAUUUGGAUCAAUUUUGGGUCUGCAUGUUAUAAUUGAGGUUAAAAUUCUAAAUUUUUAUAAAUCUUUGAUUGAUUGAUCAAGUUUACGGUAUAGAUGAUGUAAGAAUUUGUCGCCAAGGGUUUCAGAGAAGGGUGGUUUCACAGGAAUUGAAGCUCUGGCUCUCGGUUGUGAGUUCCAUAAACAUUUGAUUGUGCAAAUAUACAAUGAUUUGUAUUUUAUGUCGAUGAUCAAAAUGUGAUCAUAAUCAAUAUUUAUAUAUAGAUAAAUACUGAAAGUUUUAGUUCCAGACAUUUAAUAGGUAUGAGUGGUUAUUGAAAUCUGUUCUGUUGUGUUUUUCUGCAGGAGAAGCAAGAAAUUACAAUUGAAAAAGCCAUGCGUAAUAAGUGGAAAUGUAUCACCACUGUGAAAGGGCUGCAGCUUUUUGGUGAGCUAUCUGUUGUAUUAUAUCCUUUGUCUUUCUAUUUGGAGAUUCUUUUUUUAAUCCUACCGUAAUAGGUAACUGCAAUUUACUUUUGGAUUUGAUUCUUCACUGAUGGGAUGUUGUCGGGGCGUGAUUUAGGGGAGGGGUUGGUUGUAGAGAGAGGGUGAGGGCGGGUGCAAGAUAAGGGGGACAGAAAAAGAGUUGAUUGGGUGCACAAUUUGAGGGUAGGGUUGAUGGAACGAGUGUGUCGGCUGCAUAGAGAGGGUGGGGUUGAGGGAUUGUAUCUCUCCCUCUGUCACAUCUCUUCUUCUUCCAUUUACCCUUUCCUUCCAUUUGAGAUUGUGUUAGGGGUUUUGUUUGUAGCCUAUGAUUCUACGUGUGGUUGUUUAAUUUAGUUUUGUGUUCAGUUUCAGGAGACUCUGGUUUUUUGUUUUUUGGGGCUUUUGUUUGCAGCCUUCAAAGCUGACUGUGCUCACGCUCUAUGAUAGCAGUGGUGAGCUUCCCUUCCAAAUAUUCAUUCUUUCCAGUAUUUAGGGAUUAUGAAGUGAUUUCUCUGCUUAAUUUGGGAUUGGGGUUACUUCUUUCUUAUAAUAAAAAUCUGUGUAUACCACCUGGAAGCUUCCCUUUCAAAGAUUCCUUCUUUCCAGUAUUUAGGGAUUAUGAAGUGAUUUCUCUGCUUAAGUUGGGAUUGGGGUUACUUUUUUGCUUAUACCAAAAAACUGUGCAUGCCACCUGGAACAGUAAUUGGGUUUUGGGGUUUGUUGCAAUGCAGGAUUUAGGAUUUUUCCCAAUAUAAUUAUGGUGUUUAGGUUUUUGAAACUUGGGCUUUUCCCAAUGUAUUAUGGUGUUUAAUGUUUAUUAGUAUUUUUGUGGUAUUUAAUCUUCUCUUUUCGAUUACCCAGUUGAAGUUUUUAAUUAAUUUUUGUUGAUUUGAUUUGUUAUUUUGUAAAAAAUGAAGCGGAGUUCAAAGUCAAGAGGGAAAGAAAGCAUAGAUUUCGGUCGACACUUGAACAGUCUGCAAUUAAAUUCAGAGAUUGUUGGGUAAGCCUUCGCUCUCUUCUAUGUAUAAUUUCUUUGAGAAGUGAUAUUGGUUGGUGGUUUUGCAAGAGAUGAUGUCAAAUUCAUAUUUGGACUAAGAAAAUAAUAUGCAUGUUUGCUAAAGUCAUAGAAUUGCUCUCGAGUCCCCUCCAAUUAAUAUUUCGUGCUGAUCGAAUUUUGUUUUGGUGUUUAAUUACAGGACUUCUCAGGUUGACUGCGACCUGGGUAAUCAGAAAAAAAAAAAAAGAAAAAAAAAAAGAAGUGACUUUCUGGAGGAGAGUCCGACAAUACCAAACAAAAAUCCAAAAUUGCUCUUCAACAAGUGGGUUAAUUGUAAAGUCAUUCAAUCGGUUCUUUUAUAUUCCCGGCUUUUAUUUGCUUAUGUUUUUAUUUCUCAUAUUUGUGCAAUUAAUUUACUACUGUGUAAAUAUAUUGGAAGAUUAUUUUUGAAGUGAAAAUUGCCUCUCUUUUUUUCUUCGCAUCUGUAGCGUGUGCUCCAUGAAAACCACACGUGUUCAUUAUUUCACUUAAGUUUAAUGAAUACAUGUGAUGCAUGUGGGAAUCCCGAUUCAUGUGAUACAGCCCACCUGUGUAUCAGACGGGUGCACUGAAACACCCUAUGUUCAUUUUUGAAAUGAUAAUGCUUAAAGUGUUUUGCACAUUGCUUGGAAGUUUUUACUGAUGUUUAGACUAAUAAAUUAUCAACAUUCUCUAAAUGGGAUUUCACAUGAUAUCAAGUAAACCCAAAUACUUGGAAUUGAAUAGUAUUUUCGGAAAAUAAACACCCUUUUGUUGUGAGUUUGUAUACAGGAUUUAUUUUCUUUGUGUUUGAUGAGUGUAAAUUGUUUAGUAAAUUUCAAUAUUCUUUGACUUUUUAAUCUACAAAAUCAAAUCACUCAUGGAAUUUAUAGCAUACAAUCAGUUUCUUUGUAGUUGGGUUUAGAUGAUAUUGAUUGCGCUGUUAUAAAGCUUCUUUGUAAAGUUAGGUUGAAAAUCAUAUUAAUAGAUUCUUUAUUUGGUUGGUUCAAUCUAUAACAGAUGAGAUUUUGUUGGAUGUUUCAAUCAAAAUUUGAUCUUUUUGUUUUUUGUGAAAUUAUAAUGGAAUCACAAAUCAAGUAUAUCUUAGAUUUUUGGUUGCAUACUCACCUUCCCACAACUAUUAUAUUCCCUUGACUUGAUGAAUUUUUAUAAUUUCCAAGAUCUACGGUUGCAAUGUUUUCGAUACAUGCAGUAAGGAGAGAGCUACUACUCUUAUGGAGCUUCUUUGGCAUGGUAAGUUGAAGUUGCAUGUCAUUUUUUUUUUUUCGUUCAUAGAAUUCAUUAUCUUGCUAUCUUGGCAAUUAGCAAUUUCUGAAAAUUGAUUAAAGUAUGAAUAAAUGUGUCAAAGUUUGAAUCAUACUCAUGAAAGUGAAUAUAACAACUCUAACUUACAUUUCUUAAUAAUUUGAUCCGUCUUUCUUUCAUUUGUGUUAGAAGAAUAUAUUAUGAUGUAAAGCUUAAAUUUUGGGCACUUAAAUAUAUGUUUGUUUUUGGCAAUUACAUUUCAUGAAAAUCCAAUUGGAUUUGUUCUGGUCUGCAAGAAUUUUUCUUUGUUUGAUUAUUGAUUAAUUUAUGUGGCGGGAGUUUAGUUUUUGCUUUUCUGCCUGUGUAUAUUUGAUUUGAAAUGGACAGUUUAGUUUGCUAUAUAUAAAUUUGUAAUCGAGAAGCUCGAAGGAGAGGUAAAUUAGAAACAUAGGUGGGAGUGUGAUGGAGUUGAGGAGUUGAUAGUUUACGGAGAGUGUGAUGGAGUUGAGGAGUUGAUAGUUUACGAAGUUUACUUGGAUUUCUAUAUUAUGUCCAUUGUAUUGAUAGAUCAUUGAGACUGACUGUUUGGUUGAUUAAUCACUAAUUUGAAAUACUUAAACUGUAACUUUUCUUUAAUUCCUUUUCCUUUUGUAUUUUCAUUGGACUCUUUUAAUUUAUUUUUUUGCUUGAUCUAUCUUAAGAAUGCUUGCAUCUUGACACUUUAAAUAUUUUAAUUUGUCCUCUUUUAUGUAAAGUUUUCUCCGAUGUGAAUAUGGCUUUUUCUCAAUCUUCAGAUGGUGAUUAUUUGGUAACUUUUGCAAACUUGGCUACUCAGCCUUUGAAAUACAAAGCCGAGGAUGAGAGGAACCAGAUGAGCUAGAAUCGGGUUUGUAUAAUUCUAAAUUAUUCGUUUAGUUACCAAUAGAAAAUAUGGUUGCCCAAUCCAAUUUAGUAUUUUCAUCGUCUUAAACAUUUUCCUAUCAUAGCAGUUUGUUUCGAUACCUUAUCUUUAUCUUGGCUCACAAUGUAACGUUUAAUGAUUGAAUUUGUGCGAUGGUUUAGUAGUUUUUUCAGAAACUUACUAUUCCUAGAUGCUCAAAUAUUAUGUCUUCUAUGUUUCUGCUUUCCCUUUUUCUAUGUUUUCCCCCAUGUAAUGGGCUGACCACUUGAAACUAUGAGUAUAAUACUGAUGGCACAAUACGAUCUACAAAUGAAUGUUUUCUUAUAGCAUGCAUAUCCAGAUGUAGCGAGUAAAAUUUCACUUCAUUGGUUCUUAGGUACCACACCGUCUUUUAAAUUAUUGUGUGCGGAAAUUAUUCAUGUGGUUAAGGUUUGUGCAUUCAAGUCCCGCAGCAACGCGCGUGCAUUUUUGCUAGUAACAUCAAAUGCAGACUCCUCUGCUGUUUAGAGGUGAUUGUGGUAACCCAGUUUUCCAAUUAUGCUGCCUUUCCAACUUUUUCUUGCAACCAAGUUUCUAAAAAAACAGAUUGAAUUCAAAAGGUAAUUGGACCAAGGCAUAAAAAGACAUAAGAAAAAGUAUAGAAAGUAUAAACCACAUAUAUCACGUAUUAUACUACUUUGUAUUCCAAAUACACAUACGAAUAUUUUAGUUCCAAUCCCACAUUCUCUCUCAAACCCUUCAACUUAUCUUUGACUUUGUUUUUCAACGGCAUCAUAUUUAAGAGUUAGCUUCCAUCAAACCCUUCAUCUAAUCCCACCCUUACUUUCCUCUCUAACCCUUCAUAAUCCCACUUUUACUCUCUCAAACCCCUCAACUUACCCUGGACUUUGUUUCUGCAGCUUAGUUUCAUUUAAAAGCUUAUUUCUCAACAAAAUCAUCAUUAGUUUCAGUCUUAAUUAAUCAACGCAAGAGAACUCGGGAAAUCAUUCUCCACUCUCGGCGAUCCAACAGAUGAUAAGGAAGUGGAGAGAACGGGUUGUUAAGAAGAAGAGCACCUCAAAUGUUCAGAAAUUAAGAAAUUAAUAAGCUCAGUUGCAUACAGAACGACAGCGUUUCGACCUGACAUUUUAAACUCUUCAUAACAUCAAUUUCCAUCUUAAAUUAGAAUAAACCUCCAACGUUAGAAAUAUGAGUACAAACAAAUGCUUAGUAAAAGAAUUAGCCAAUUAUAAUUAAGAAUUGUUAAUCAAACUGUAAAAGCAACAUAUAUAUUUAUCCAACUUCAAACACAGAACCCAACAGAGAGAAUCCAAUUGAAAACCGAAUAGCCCAAACAGACCAUGAAGAUUAUACAAUCAGAAGAAGAGAUAUUUGGAGAAGAAGAGUUCAUUACAUAGUCUGAAGGCAGCCGAGCAGCAGCAGAAACUGAAAAAAGCAUAAUAAUUGAAAAAAAAUAAAAAAAUUAACAGGUAGGAGUGCUUAACGUUAUUUAAUUAUAUGCAAUGACAUUAGUGAAGACCGAAGAGUCGCAUCACGUGUGACAGCAAUAUACUUACAACAACAACAACAACAACAAAGCCUUUUCCCACUAAGUGGGGUCGGCUAUAUGAAUCCUAGAACGCCAUUGCGCUCGGUUUUGUGUCAUGUCCUCCGUUAGAUCCAAGUACUCUAAGUCUUUUCUUAGAGUCUCUUCCAAAGUUUUCCUAGGUCUUCCUCUACCCCUUCGGCCCUGAACCUCUGUCCCGUAGUCACAUCUUCGAACCGGAGCUUCAUUAGGCCUUCUUUGCACAUGUCCAAAUCACCGGAACCGAUUUUCUCUCAUCUUUCCUUCAAUUUCAGCUACUCCUACUUUACCUCGGAUAUCCUUAUUCCCAAUCUUAUCUUUUCUCGUGUGCCCACACAUCCCACGAAGCAUCCUCAUCUCCGCUACACCCAUUUUGUGUACGUGUUGAUGCUUCACCGCCCAACAUUAUGUGCCAUACAACAUCGUUGGCCUUAUUGCCGUCCUAUAAAAUUUUCCCUUGAGCUUCAGUGGCCUACGACGGUCACACAACACGCCGGAUGCACUCUUACACUUCAUCAAUCCAGCUCGUAUUCUAUGGUUGAGAUCUCCAUCUAAUUCUCCGUUCUCUUGCAAGAUAGGUCCUAGGUAGCGAAAACGGUCGCUUUUUGUGAUCUUCGCUAGAUUGCUCCGGUCAUUAGUGUGGAUAAGUAUAUAAAUGGAUAGAGAUAGGAAAGCAAACACAAGAUGUACAUGGUUCACCCAGAUUUGCUACGUCCACGGAAUAGAGGAGUUCUCAUUAAUUGUGAAGGGUUUACACAAGUACAUAGGUUCAAGCUCUCCUUUAGUGAGUACAAGUGAAUGAUUUAGUACAAAUGACAUUAGGAAAUAUUGUGGGAGAAUGAUCUCGUAAUCACGAAACUUCUAAGUAUCGGAGUGUGGUAUCGUCUUGACUUGCCUUAUCUGUCUCAUAGGUAGAUGUGGUAUCUUUAACUCGUGGAGAUGCACAAGGUAAUGUAUCAAUUUUACUUGAAGCUUACUUGUAGUUUCAGGCUUGGUCAAGCGCGAUACAAACCAUGUAGUAGGAAUCCCCCAAGUCGCCGAGCUAGGGGAUCUGCUGAAAGAGGUGACAGACAAGGUAAGCAAUCAGAGCUCCGGCUGAUUGUUCACCUUUUCCCCAUCUUGUAGCAGCAUGAAGGAUAAAGAGAAGAAAAAUGAGAAGAUAUGAUAUGGGAUACUUUUGCUUUUGAAGAAGUAACUUUCCACAUGCUUAUUCUUGAACUGAGCUGGAGGGUUUUCUGGUGUCCUCCAGAGUAUAAGGCCGACUGAAGAAUUUGAGGGUCAAAACAAGUCCAUCAAAUCUAGAGUACGUUCGACCCUGCUGAUAUGGGAUACUUUUGCUUUUGACAGAGUAAUGGAUGUAUCGACACGUGUGCUGUUACGCUUGUCUCCACAUGCUUCCUUAUAUCCUUCGCACUUGCCCUAUCUGUUCCUCAAGCAGAUGUGGUAUCUUCCCUGGAAGCAUAAGAUGUUGAAGAUGAGUACUCGAGAGCAAUGCCAGGUAAGUAAUCAGGUAAGGGGUUCCAGGCAGUCAGUUCCUGGCUGGAAGCUUGAUUCCAAGUGCUGACUGAUUGCUCUCUUUCUCCUACUCGAGAGCAAUGCCAGGUAAGUAAUCAGGUAAGGGGUUCCAGGCAGUCAGUUCAUGGCUGAAAGCUUGAUUCCAAGUGCUGACUGAUUGCUCUCUUUCUCCUUGUCUUGCAGGUAAGAACAAGGCCAAAGGAAAAGACAGGGAAAAAGCAUGAUAUGGGAUACUCUUGCUUUUAACCCUGAUGAUAUGAGAUAUUCUUGCUCUAGUAUAGCUUGUUUGCAGAGGUAUUAUCGGGGGGAAAGAAAGCUGAAUAUUUCGAAAGGCUUCGUUGGGAGUGCCCUCUCAGAUAUGAGGAAGGGUUGAGCAUUUUUGCAGGUCUGCCUGUCCGUUGGGGAUAAAGGUCGACAUAUAUAGGAGUCUCCCUAACAACAAGUAGUAAUGCUAUUCCUUUACCCUGCUUGGUCCUAGCACGGUAGUGGGAGCUGCCAGCUUCACAUGUUUUAACUCUGUCAGAGAACUUUGAAAAAGUGGUAUGUGAUAUAUGGCUCUCGAGAAUCGAAGAACGAUGCCUCUUCGAUUUUUGAGAAAGCAAUCAUGCUGGGGGUCUGGCUCUCGAGAUUCGGAGAGCAGUGUCUCUUCGAUUUUUGAGAAAGUAAUCAUGUUGGGAGUCUGGCUUCGGAGGGCGGUGCCUCUUUGAUUUUGGAGCAAGCAAAAGUGUUUUCUCGAAUGUGAGUAAAGGUUGGGCAUGUUUACUAGUCUACCUUGCCACGAAGCACAUAGGUUGACACACAGGGACUUUCCAAUUAUCCAGCAAUGGUACUGUUCCUUUACUGUCUCUUCGAUUUUGAGAAAGUAGUCAUGUUGGGAGUCUGGCUCUCGAGAUUCGGAGGACGGUGCCUCUUCGAUUUUGGAGCAAACAAUCUUGUUGGGAGUGUUUUCUCGAAUGUGAGUAAAGGUUGGGCAUGUUUGCUAGUUACCUUGCAACGAAGCACAUAGGUUGACACACAGGGACUUUCCAAUUAUCCAGCAGUGGUACUGUUCCUUUACCCUUGUGGGUAAUAAUAUGGUAGCUAGACCUUCAAAAUAUAUGUGUCUAAACUUUGUUAGUGUUGUUUCUUUGCUAUUCUUUUACCUUUCUUGGUCAGAGCGACGUAGUGGGAGCUGAAAGCUUCACGUGCUCAACUUUGGCAGAGAACUUUGGCAAAGUUAUCUGUGGUACCCAUGAGCUAUUGUUGCGUGUGGGAAGUGGGUGAUUGAACAAUAAGAUUCAUGUGCUUUCUACUUCACCAGAAGUCUUCGACAGAAUGCCCAUAAUUUCCGCAAAGCUGAGUGUGCGUGUGACAGGUGCUGAUAAGGCUAGAAAAGUAGGUGCCUCUUCGAUUUCUAAGAUCGGCCCUCGUGGUCUCUAAGCAGCCCAGCUUUUGAGAAAGUGAGCGCCUCUUCGAUUGAUUCGGAAAACGAUGCCUCUUCGAUUUUUGAGAAAGCAAUCAUGUUGGGGGUCUGUCUCUCGAGAUUCGGGGAGCAGUGUCUCUUCGAUUUUUAAGAAAGUAAUCAUGUUGGGAGUCUGGCUCUUGAGAUUCGGAGGGCGGUGCCUCUUCGAUUUUGGAGCAAGCAAUCUUGUUGGGAGUGUUUUCUCGAAUGUGAGUAAAGGUUGGGCAUGUUUGCUAGUCUACCUUGCCACGAAGCACAGAGGUUGACACACAGCGACUUUCUAAUUAUCCAGCAAUGGUACUGUUCCUUUACCCUCUCUUCGAUUUUUAAGAAAGUAGUCAUGUUGGGAGUCUGGCUCUCGAGAUUCGGAGGACGGUGCCUCUUCGAUUUUGGAGCAAGCAAUCUUAUUGGGAGUGUUUUCUCGAAUGUGAGUAAAGGUUGGGCAUGUUUGGGCAUGUUUGCUAGUCUACCUUGCCACGAAGCACAGAGGUUUACACACAGGGACUUUCCAAUUAUCCAGCAGUGGUACUGUUCCUUUACCCUUGUGGGUAAUAAUAUGGUAGCUAGACCUUCAAAAUUUAUGGGUCUAAACUUUGUUAGUGCUGUUUCUUUGCUAUUCUUUUACCCUUCUUGGUCAGAGCGAUGUAGUGGGAGCUGCAAGCUUCACGUGCUCAACUUUGGCAAAGAACUUUGGCAAAGUUAUCUGUGGUACCCAUGAGCUAUUGUUGCGUGUGGGAAGUGGGUGAUUGAAUAGUAAGAUUCAUGUGUUUUCUACUUCACCAGAAGUCUUCGACAGAAUGCCCAUAAUUUCCGCAAAGCUGAGUGUGCGUGUGACAGGUGCUGACAAGGCUGGAAAAGUAGGUGCCUCUUCGAUUUCUGAGAUCGGCCCUCGUGGUCUCUGAGGAGCCCAGCUUUUGAGAAAGCGAGCACCUCUUCGAUUUCUGAGAUCGGCCUUCGUGGUCUUUGAGCAGCCCAGCUUUUGAGAAAGCAAACGCCUUUUCGAUUUCUGCGUUCAACCCUCGUGGUCGCUAAGCAGCCCAGCUUUUGAGAAAGCAAACGCCUCUUCGAUUUCUGAGCAGGCGCCUCUUCGAUUUCUGAAGCUCCGUCGAGUGCAGAUUUGUAUAGGGGCUGGCAUUAAGUUCCAAAGCACACUUGAAUCUCCACCAGUAGAAGCUCCAUUCUUGCACUUCUAAGAUCUUGAUUUGUCCGACCUCUUCUCUCUUCAACACCUUUGAAAAUGUCUGGCCCCUCCGACCGUCGUUUUGACUUGAACCUUGUUGAAGAUGCAGCCCCGCCUUCUCCAGACAACAUAUGGCGCCCAUCCUUCGUCUCCCCUACUGGUCCUCUUACCGGUGGGGAUUCCGUGAUGAAGAAUGAUAUGACCGCUGUGGUGGUGGCCAGGAACCUUCUUACUCCCAAAGAUAACAGACUACUUUCCAAACGGUUUGAUGAGUUAGCUGUUAAGGAUUCGCUGGCUCUCAGUGUUCAGUGUGCAGGUUCUGUGUCUAAUAUGGCCCAACGCCUAUUUGCUCGAACCCGCCAAGUUGAAUCAUUGGCGGCUGAAGUGAUGAGUCUCAAACAGGAGAUUAGAGGGCUCAAGCAUGAGAAUAAACAGUUGCACCGGCUAGCACAUGACUAUGCUACAAACAUGAAGAGGAAGCUUGACCAGAUGAAGGAAACUGAUGGUCAGGUUUUACUUGAUCAUCAGAGAUUUGUGGGUUUGUUCCAAAGGCAUUUAUUGCCUUCAUAUUCUAGGGCUGUACCGCAUAAUGAAGCUCCAAAUGAUCAACCUCUGAUGCCUCCCCCUUCUAGGGUUCUGUCCAGUACUGAGGCUCCGAAUAAUCCCCCUCCGGUGCCUUCUCUUUCUGGCGCUCUACCGACUGCUGAGACUUCUCCUAAGCAACCUUUGUGAAGGCUCCCUCUUGUUUGUUUAUUUUGACACAUGUAUAUGUACAUAUUUGUAGCUUAUCGGGGAAAUCAAUAAAUAAGCUUUCCUUCAUUUCAACGUAUUGUGUUAAAUACACUAAAGCCUUAUUCGCUAAGUUCUUUGAAUUUUCUUUUGUUGAAGCUUUCUGAGUGGAGCAUGUAGGUUGGGGUAGUGUUCCCUUAAUUUCCCGAGUGAGGAAAACUUCUCGGUUGGAGACUUGGAAAAUCCAAGUCACUGAGUGGGAUCGGCUAUAUGAAUCCAAGUCACUGAGUGGGAUCGGCUAUUCCUUUACCCUGCUUGGUCAUAGCACGGUAGUGGGAGCUGUCAACUUCACAUGUUUUAACUCUGUCGGAGCACUUUGAAAAAGUGGUCUGUGGUAUCUGGAAAGCUGAUGUUGCGUGUGAAGAUAACAGACAAGCUUUAUCCAAGGAGAUCCGGCUCUUGAAGUUGGGAAAGUGGUGCCUCUUCGGUUUUCGAACAAGCAUUCCUGUCGGGGAUCUCGCUCUCGAGAUUCGGAGAACGAUGCCUCUUCGAUUUUUGAGAAAGCAAUCCUGCUGGGGGUCUGGCUCUCGAGAUUCGGAGAGCGGUGUCUUCGAUUUUUGAGAAAGUAAUCAUGUUGGGAGUCUGGCUCUCGAGAUUCGGAGGGCGGUGCCUCUUCGAUUUUGGAGCAAGCAAUCUUGUUGGGAGUGUUUUCUCGAAUGUGAGUAAAGGUUGGGCAUGUUUGCUAGUCUACCUUGCCACGAAGCACAGAGGUUGACACACAGGGACUUUCCAAUUAUCCAGCAGUGGUACUGUUCAUUUACCCUCUCUUCGAUUUUUGAGAAAGUAAUCAUGUUAGGAGUCUGGCUCUCGAGAUUCGGAGGGCGGUGCCUCUUCGAUUUUGGAGCAAGCAAUCUUGUUGGGGGUGUUUUCUCGAAUGUGAGUAAAGGUUGGGCAUGUUUGCUAGUCUACCUUGCCACGAAGCACAGAGGUUGACACACAGGGACUUUCCAAUUAUCCAGCAGUGGUACUGUUCCUUUACCCUCUCUUCGAUUUAUGAGAAAGUAAUCAUGUUGGGAGUCUGGCUCUCGAGAUUCGGAGGGCGAUGCCUCUUCGAUUUUGGUGCAAGCAAUCUUGUUGGGAGUGUUUUCUCGAAUGUGAGUAAAGGUUGGGCAUGUUUGCUAGUCUACCUUGCCACGAAGCACAGAGGUUGACACACCGGGACUUUCCAAUUAUCCAGCAGUGGUACUGUUCCUUUACCCUUGUGGGUAAUAAUAUGGUAGCUAGGCCUUCAAAAUUUAUGUGUCUAAACUUUGUUAGUGUUGUUUCUUUGCUAUUCUUUUACCCUCUUGGUCAGAGCGAUGUAGUGAGAGCUACAAGCUUCAUGUGUCUCAACUUUGUCAGAGAACUUUGGCAAAGUUAUAUGUGAUACCCAUGAGCUACUGUUGCGUGUGGGAAGUGGGUGAUUGAACAGUACGAUUCAUGUGCUUUCUACUUCGCUAGAAAUCUUCGACAGAAUGCCCAUAAUUUCCGCAAAGCUGAGUGUGCGUGUGACAGGUGCUGACAAGGCUGGAAAAGUAGUCUCCACUUUGUCAGAGAACUUUGGCAAAGUUAUAUGUGGUACCCAUGAGCUACUGUUGCGUGUGGGAAGUGGGUGAUUGAACAGUACGAUUCAUGUGUUUUCUACUUCGCCAGAAAUCUUCGACAGAAUGCCCAUAAUUUCCGCAAAGCUGGGUGCGUGUGACAGGUGCUGACAAGGCUGGAAAAGUAGGUGCCUCUUCGAUUUCUGAGAUCGGCCCUCAUGGUCUCUGAGCAGCCCAGCUUUUGAGAAAGCAAACCUCUUCGAUUUCUGAGAUCAGCCCUCGUGGUCUCUGAGCAGCCCAGCUUUUGAGAAAGCAAACCUCUUCGAUUUCUGAGGUCGGCCUUCGUGGUCUUUGAGCAGCCUAGCUUUUGAGAAAGCAAACGCCUCUUCGAUUUCUGAGAUCGACCCUCGUGGUCUCUGAGCCGCCCAGCUUUUAAGAAAGCAAACGCCUCUUCGAUUUCUGAGCAGGCGCCUCUUCGAUUUCUGAAGCUUCGUCGAGUGCAGAUUUUUAUAGGGGCUGACAUUAAGUUCCAAAGCACACUUGAAUAUCCACCAGUAGAAGCUCCAUUCUUGCACUUCUAAGAUCUUGAUUUGUCCGACCUCUUCUCUAUUCAACACCUUUGAAAAUGUCUGGCCCCUCCGACCGUCGUUUUGACUUGAACCUUGUUGAAGAGGCAGCCCCGCCUUCUCCAGACAACAUAUGGCGCCCAUCCUUCGUCUCCCCUACUGGUCCUCUUACCGUUGGGGAUUCCGUGAUGAAGAAUGAUAUGACCGCUGCGGUAGUGGCCAUGAACCUUCUCACUCCCAAAGAUAACAGACUACUUUCCAAACGGUCUGAUGAGUUGGCUGUUAAGGAUUCUCUGGCUCUUAGUGUUCAGUGUGCAGGUUAUGUGUCUAAUAUGGCCCAACGCCUAUUUGCUCGAACCCGCCAAGUUGAAUCAUUGGCUGCUGAAGUGAUGAGUCUCAAACAGGAUAUUAGAGGGCUCAAGCAUGAGAAUAAACAGUUGCACCGGCUCGCACAUGACUAUGCUACAAACAUGAAGAGGAAGCUUGACCAGAUGAAGGAAUCUAAUGGUCAGGUUUUACUUGAUCAUCAAAGAUUUGUGGGUUUGUUCCAAAGGCAUUUAUUGCCUUCGUCUUCUGGGGCUGUACCGCGUAAUGAAUCUUCAAAUGAUCAACCUCUGAUGCCUCCUCCUUCUAGGGUUCUGUCCAGUACCGAGGCUCUGAAUGAUCCCCCUCCGGUGCCUUCUCUUUCUGGGGCUCUACCGACUGCUAAGACUUCUCCUAAGCAACCUUUGUGAAGGCUCCCUCUUGUUUGUUUAUUUUGACUCAAGUAUAUGUACAUAUUUGUAACUUAUCGGGGAUAUCAAUAAAUAAGCUUUCCUUCAUUUCAACGUAUUGUGUUAAAUCACCAAAGCCUUCUUCGCUAAGUUCUUUGAAUUUUCUUUUGUUGAAGCUUGUAUGUUGAAGCUUUGUGAGUGGAGCAUGUAGGUUGAGGUAGUGUUCCCUUAAUUUCCCGAGCGAGGACAACUUCUCGGUUGGAGACUUGGAAAAUCCAAGUCACUGAGUAGGAUCGGCUAUAUGAAUCUUAGAACACCAUUGUGUUCUGUAGGCACAACACCACCAAAGGAAAGAAACCUAGUGAUCACAUACAUUUUGAACAUUGCCAAUAAAAGAGCAAUCAGAUCAAAAUAAUACAGGCGAUGCCAGAAAUUGAUUCAAAUUUGUAGAAAAACUACACUCAAAAUACCCAAAACGAGAAAAGGAUUAGGCCACACAUUACCAUCCACUCCAAUUAUCGGUCCACAUUUUGGGUCUCUUUUCAGGAAGUCGGGGUCCAUUGAUCACAAUAAAAUCCAUUGCAAGUGCUGAUCUGUAGGUAGUUAAUAUAGCAUGCCAGUAGAGCAAAGAAACCAUCUUGAGAAUUCGUCUUUAUACAGUCAAUACAAAAGAAUACAAAUGAAAACUGACUACAAAAGCCUCACCACGGAUGCAAGAGCAUCAGCUUGCUGACACAUGACCCAGGGUACCCCUGUAUCCAAAGACACGGCCAUGCUUGCUGCCCACUUAAUAUAGGUUUGGGCAGCAGCCCCAUAUGCUUGAUCAAUGUUUCCAUACUCGAUUUCAAUCUGGUAUAAUUGAAACAAUUAACCCAUAACUCAAAUUGGAAUAUUCUUAAAACGAAAAACAUUGGGUAAAUAAUAAAAAGAAUAAAGAAAAUUUUAAACCUGGGAUCAAAUGAUGGGUCCUCCCUGAGAUGCAUAAAGCUUUUCCUUCUUCAUCAUAUCAAAAUUUUUUGCCGUGAACCGCUGCAUUUCUGCCUGAGCCACAUAAAUUCUAAUAAAACACUGAAGUUGAGAAAAUACCAAGAAAGGAAACACAAACACAGGCAAUUGGGAUAAAGUGGAGAAGAAGAAACCUUGAACAGCUCAUUGUCCGUUCGCAAUUGAAUUCCGGGUAUGAAAUGCACCCAAAGAGGAAAGCCACUGUUGAAAAAUUGAAACGCCAAUCACACAAUAAAACUUCUUCAGAAAGUACUGAAAAGUAAGUUGAUCAUCAUAAAAGCAACUUCCUUUUUCUAUUUCUCAAAAAAGGAAAAUGUAAAAAGACCAAUUAAAAUUCAAUUAAAUUCAUAAUACACAUAGUUCCAUUCUGCGCACACAUAUGCACCAAUUCGAAGGUGCACUAGAAGGCCAGCUUCUGCUACUGUCUUCACAAAUUUUACCAAAUCUUUUCUUCCACCAAAAUCAUACUGCAAGAAGUUGUAUGUUCCACCAGUCACCAUCAUAACAAAGACAAAAUGCACAAUUCAAGAUAACCAACAACAACAACAACAACAAAGCCUUUUCCCACUAAGUGGGGUCGGCUAUAUGAAUCCUAGAACGCCAUUGCGCUCGGUUUUGUGUCAUGUCCUCCGUUAGAUCCAAGUACUCUAAGUCUUUUCUUAGAGUCUCUUCCAAAGUUUUCAUAGGUCUUCCUCUACCCCUUCGGCCCUGAACCUCUGUCCCGUAGUCACAUCUUCGAAUCGGAGCAUCAGUAGGCCUUCUUUGCACAUGUCCAAAUCACCGGAACCGAUUUUCUCUCAUCUUUCCUUCGGCUACUCCUACUUUACCUCGGAUAUCCUCAUUCCCAAUCUUAUCCUUUCUCGUGUGCCUACACAUCCCACGAAGCAUCCUCAUCUCCGCCACACCCAUUUUGUGUACGUGUUGAUGCUUCACCGCCCAACAUUCUGUGCCAUACAACAU
rnacentral:lncRNA from 1 species